ACUUAAAUAAUAUAAACAUUAUAAUUGAUUUCCAAUCAAACAAUCUAGAAUCACCUAGUUUAAGUA
rnacentral:tRNA from 1 species